CCAAACUUGGUCAUUUAGAGGAAGUAAAAGUCGUAACAAGGUUUCCGUAGGUGAACCUGCGGAAGGAUCAUUAUCGAAUCGUUAAAAACUUGGUUGUUGCUGGCUUUCUCCUUGUCGAGAUUGUAUGUGCACGCCUUGUUCAAACUUUUCAUUUUAAACCCCCCUGUGCACUUUUGUGGAUUGUGGAUUGAUAAACUUUGUCAAAGUAACAUUUGGUUUUUGGGAUCGCAACUAGCUUUCCCUUGUUUAUUUAUUUCUCCACAGUUCAUGUCUUUUUUUACUACAAACCAUUGAAUAAACAACCUAGAAUGCUUUUUACAAGUUGGGAUUUUAGUGGUCCCUUCUUAAAAUCUUAUACAACUUUCAACAACGGAUCUCUUGGCUCUCGCAUCGAUGAAGAACGCAGC
rnacentral:misc_RNA from 1 species